AAAUUGAAGAGUUUGAUCAUGGCUCAGAUUGAACGCUGGCGGCAGGCCUAACACAUGCAAGUCGAACGGUAACAGGAAGCAGCUUGCUGCUUCGCUGACGAGUGGCGGACGGGUGAGUAAUGUCUGGGAAGCUGCCUGAUGGAGGGGGAUAACUACUGGAAACGGUGGCUAAUACCGCAUAACGUCGCAAGACCAAAGAGGGGGACCUUCGGGCCUCUUGCCAUCAGAUGUGCCCAGAUGGGAUUAGCUAGUUGGUGAGGUAACGGCUCACCAAGGCGACGAUCCCUAGCUGGUCUGAGAGGAUGACCAGCCACACUGGAACUGAGACACGGUCCAGACUCCUACGGGA
rnacentral:rRNA from 1 species